CAAUAGCGUAUAUUAAAGUUGUUGCAGUUAAAAAGCUCGUAGUUGGAUUUGUGGCGUACGGUGUGUUCCGGGCACUUGUUGUCUGAGUAACCUGCUGUUGCCAUCCUUGGGUGGAACCUGUGUGGCAUUAGGUUGUCGUGCAGGGGAUGCCCAUCAUUUACUGUGAAAAAAUUAGAGCGUUCAAAGCAGGCUUAUGCCGUUGAAUAUAUUAGCAUGGAAUAAUGAGAUAGGAUUUUUUUGCUAUUUUGUUGGUUUGCGCAAAGAGGUAAUGAUUAAUAGGGACAGUUGGGGGUAUUCGUAUUCCAUUGUCAGAGGUGAAAUUCUUGGAUUUUUGGAAGACGAACUACUGCGAAAGCAUUUACCAAGGAUGUUUUCAUUAA
rnacentral:rRNA from 1 species